AGAGUUUCCGUAGGGGAACAGUAAACCCACCUCCCAGUAACCACCUCCACUCACGGAAUAAGUAUAGGAGACUGACCAGUUGAAAGGAUAUAUAUAAGGUGCGAUUUGAACACAAACUUAAAAUAUUUACAGCAGUGUCACCAGUGAGGAACUCGAGAAAAUGAAGCAAGUUCUUGUGAUACUAACUUGUCUCAGUGUCCUCAUCUGGACAGUGUUUGGAGCUCCUACUUCAACAAGAAAGAGCUGCUGUCGUAGAUACUCAGCUAAAACACCCCAUUUCAACAAAACCCAAAAAUAUGAAAUUCAGAAAAACGAUGGACGCUGCAGAAUUGAAGCUGUGUUAUUUUUUGUCAAUGGCACACGCAUCUGCGCAGAUCCAGCUAAAGGGAAAGUGAAAAAACUUGUGAAAAGACUCUCCCAAAGAGAGGAGGGAGACUGAAAAUGAUAUUAAUUCCCUGUGACUGUCUAUUGACCAAAAACAGUAUUCAAAAAUAUCAACUUUCAGUUUCAAUGUCCAACAAUUCCACAUUUUCUACGUUUCCAAGGAAUCGUGAAAUUCGUACAUCAAAGCAAGAUUCAAAUAUUCAAACAACAUUAGUCAAAUUUGGCCCACUCUUCAGUGCGGUAUUGUCCAUGUGUCUUAUUGAUUGACUUGAUGUGGUUUUAUUAUGAUUGUAAAUAUGACAGGAUCGCAUGGUGCCUUGCCAAUUUAGAGUCAGAUAUUGCUCCCUGGAAUCUCUCAAUGUUCCCCAACAAUAUUCUAUACUGGUUUCCCAGAGAAAAUGAUCUCUAGUUACGGUAGUAGAUCCUGGAUCCUCGAAUGCAGCAAUGCUGCCUGUGUGGAUCCCCGUUCUCAGUAUUCUCGGGCUACCCCAUGCUAAGUUUUGCAGAUAACUCAUUAAAUGUUAAUUAUGUCACAAAUCAAUUGCCUGCCUUUCCAAGAUAAUGCAAAUGUUUUUUCAUAGCCCUUGCAUUAUUGAUUGAUGGACACCCCCCCCCCCCCCCCUUCACGACGGAUUAUAAUUUCCUGUAUUGAUGAAUGUAUAUAAUUGUCACAUAUUUUCAUAAACCAUACUAAUGGUGUUCAAUGCAAAGCACAGAGUGAUUGUUGUAUUUUUCCGACAUUUAGAGGCAGGAUAAAGGAGGCAUUCACAUUAUGUUUUUAUUUCAGAGACAUGUUGAAUAGACAUUCUUGCAUUAGCUUGUAUGGAGGGAUCAAAACUGAUAUAUUUUAAGGGCAGGAUACACAAUAACCCCAACAUUUGCACUGUAAUUCCCAAUGAACCGGAUACUGAUUUUUAAAUUGUUAUUCAAUGCUGCACUUUUAUGAAUGCAUGUAUAUUAUCCAGCAAACCUGGUUCUCCUCAUUAAAAAGAUGAUGCAUUUUGUUAUUUAUUUUGUUUGUAAUUUCCCUGUACCUGUUUUCACUUUUCUAAGAAAUAAAAAUGUAUAAUAUUUUAAAAUAUAUUGUCACUGUGAUCUAUUAUAAGCUCAACACAAACUUGGAAUUUACUUGCUCCUUAAAUUUUCAUGAAUCCAUUCUGAUGAAACAAUAAAAUUGAUUAAAGUUCACAUGAACAAUUUCAAAUCCUUAUUACUGACUUGAUUCAUAAUAAUUGUACCUUGCAUUCCACCAAUUUUUGAACUCAAGCUACAAUUGUGCCUGGAUUCAGUGUGAUAAUUAAACAAUCCUGUUGAAUGGGAAUUUAUAUUAAAUGUAUUUUUGUGGAAGGCAAUCUGUUUGCUUGCUCACAUCUUUAGUUUAGUUUAUUUUAGUUUAUAGAUACAGCGCGGAAACAGCGCAGAAACAGGCCCUUCGGCCCACCGAGUCCGUGCCGAACAGCGAUCCC